rnacentral:rRNA from 1 species
AUACGGAGGGUGCAAGCGUUAAUCGGAAUUACUGGGCGUAAAGGGCGCGUAGGCGGUCUAUCAAGUCAGGUGUGAAAUCCCACGGCUCAACCGUGGAGGUGCAUCUGAAACUGAUAGACUUGAGUAUGGGAGAGGAAAGUGGAAUUCCCGGUGUAGAGGUGAAAUUCGUAGAUAUCGGGAGGAACACCAGUGGCGAAGGCGACUUUCUGGACCAAUACUGACGCUGAGGCGCGAAAGCGUGGGGAGCAAACAGGAUUAGAUACCCCUGUAGUCC